AUUCCAGCUCCAAUAGCGUAUAUUAAAGUUGUUGCAGUUAAAAAGCUCGUAGUUGGAUUUCUGGCAGGAGCGACCGGUCACACACUCUGUGUGUGAACUUGCGUUGUCUCUGGCCAUCCUCGGGGAGAUCCUGUUUGGCAUUAAGUUGUCGGGCAGGGGAUACCCGUCGUUUACUGUGAAAAAAUUAGAGUGUUUAAAGCAGGCUUAUGCCGUUGAAUAUAUUAGCAUGGAAUAAUAAGAUAGGACUUCGGAACUAUUUUGUUGGUUUGCGUUACGAAGUAAUGAUUAAUAGGGACAGUUGGGGGCAUUAGUAUUUAAUUGUCAGAGGUGAAAUCCUUGGAUUUAUUAAAGACUAACUUAUGCGAAAGCAUUUGCCAAGGAUGUUUUCAUUA
rnacentral:rRNA from 1 species